rnacentral:misc_RNA from 1 species
UGAAUCUACUAUUGUUCCGAGAGGCUGGGAAAUACCCACCAGUGGGGAGAAGUUGAAGGUUGGAGUUCCUGUCAAAGGAGGGCUGGAGCAAUUUAUUAAAGUGGAAAUCAAUGCCAAAACACAAGCAGUAACUGUAACUGGUUUCAUUCCAGAUGUCUUCAAAGAAGUCAUCGAACAUUUGCCAUAUGCCAUCCCUUAUGAAUUUAUUCCAUUUCCAAUAGAUAGCCCCACUUCUCAAGACUAUGA